rnacentral:rRNA from 1 species
AUUGAACGCUGGCGGCAGGCCUAACACAUGCGAGUCGAGUGGAUGAAGGGAGCUUGCUCCUGGAUUCAGCGGCGGACGGGUGAGUAAUGCCUAGGAAUCUGCCUGGUAGUGGGGGAUAACGUCCGGAAACGGGCGCUAAUACCGCAUACGUCCUGAGGGAGAAAGUGGGGGAUCUUCGGACCUCACGCUAUCAGAUGAGCCUAGGUCGGAUUAGCUAGUUGGUGGGGUAAAGGCCUACCAAGGCGACGAUCCGUAACUGGUCUGAGAGGAUGAUCAGUCACACUGGAACUGAGACACGGUCCAGACUCCUACGGGAGGCAGCAGUGGGGAAUAUUGGACAAUGGGCGAAAGCCUGAUCCAGCCAUGCCGCGUGUGUGAAGAAGGUCUUCGGAUUGUAAAGCACUUUAAGUUGGGAGGAAGGGCAGUAAGUUAAUACCUUGCUGUUUUGACGUUACCAACAGAAUAAGCACCGGCUAACUUCGUG